rnacentral:lncRNA from 1 species
CUGGCUGAAAAAAAGAUGAAAGAGAUCAGCUCCAAGGGAUGGGGAAAAACAAAAACAAGCCUCGAUUAUUUCAGUAUUUCCAGAGAAAAAUAAAAAGGUUGGGCCAUUUCUGUUAUAAAAUGAGGCACACUCUGACCCAUUUGCUCCAAGAGAACACCAGUGGGGGCAGGCACACAGCUGUCCUUCUCUGCAGUCCACAUGGUGACCAUCUCAGAGCCAGGCACACGGUGGCCCCUGGACAGAGAGCUGUUGGUGUGGUGUGAGCAGAGUGCCUUCCUAGCUCACCUCCAGCACUGCGAUGCAGAUGCAAUAGGAUGGAGGUAAACAUCGAGGGGAGACUUGAAAGGAACACCAGGGAAAAAGCUUUUCACACAAGGAUGGCUGCAGUGAGUAGCCCUGAAAAUGGUCCCGGAGUAGCCCACACCCCAGUUGUACCAGGUGGGUCAAACAGAAUAACAUGGCAGCAGGGGCUGCAAAUCACACAUCCAAGGUGAAGCGAUAAAAAAAAUCUCUCCAAGGCCCUCUCUCACUCUGGCUCUUGUCCUCUCCCUCCUAGACUGCUUGCUCUGUGGGAAGCAGGAUGCCUGUGGAAAGGCCCUUCUGCCCAGGGAUGCAAGCUUGGGGUGAACAGCCAGAGAGGAACUGAGGUCUCCUUCCUCCUCCCAUGUGAGUGAUCUUGGAAGAAGAUGCCCCUCUCACAUCCUCAGACAAGACUGUAACCCCAGCCAACAGCCCGACUGCCACCUCCUGCAGGACCUUGACCCAGAAGCCCGCAGUGUAGCCCAUCCUUAAUUCCUGACCCACAGAAACUACAGGAUACUAAGUGUUUGUAGUUUUAAGCUACUAACUUUAGAGUCAGUUUUCUCUAC